rnacentral:rRNA from 1 species
GACGAACGCUGGCGGCGUGCUUAACACAUGCAAGUCGAACGGAAAGGCCCUGCUUUUGUGGGGUGCUCGAGUGGCGAACGGGUGAGUAACACGUGAGUAACCUGCCCUUGACUUUGGGAUAACUUCAGGAAACUGGGGCUAAUACCGGAUAGGAGCUCCUGCUGCAUGGUGGGGGUUGGAAAGUUUCGGCGGUUGGGGAUGGACUCGCGGCUUAUCCGCUUGUUGGUGGGGUAGUGGCUUACCAAGGGUUUGACGGGUAGCCGGCCUGAGAGGGUGACCGGCCACAUUGGGACUGAGAUACGGCCCAGACGCCUACGGUAGGCAGCAGUGGAGAAUAUGGCACAGUGGGCGGGAGCCUGAUGCAGCGACGCCGCGUGCGGAAUAACGGCCUUCGGGUUAUAAACCGCUGUCGCAUGAGACGGAGCGUGAUUGACGGUAAUGGGUAAAGAAGCACCGGCUAACUACGUG